rnacentral:lncRNA from 1 species
CCGCAUCGAUGUUACAUUUCAAUCUCCCCCUCAAGGGCUCCUCCACUGCUUCUCCUGGUCAGUGCCGACACCAUUAGAAGUCACCAACUCACCAAAAAGCUGUCUAGAGCUAUGCCAUUCCUGCAGAUAAGAGUCAGCAUUUCCAACAAUGUAGAUUUCGAUGAAACCGAAUCGACAAAACUCGCUCGUUCCUCCUAAAGUUACUUUGAUCAAACAAGACCGAUUCAAUGCAACGCUCAAACGAUC